rnacentral:rRNA from 1 species
GACGAACGCUGGCGGCGUGCUUAACACAUGCAAGUCGAGCGGUAAGGCCCUCGGGUACGACGAGCGGCGAACGGGUGAGUAACACGUGGGUGACCUGCCCUUAGCUCUGGGAUAAGCCUGGGAAACGUGGGUCUAAUACCGGAUAUGACCUCAUGACGCAUGUUGUGGGGUGGAAAGCCUUGUGCGGCUAGGGAUGGGCCCGCGGCCUAUCAGCUUGUUGGUGGGGUGAUGGCCUACCAAGGCGACGACGGGUAGCCGGCCUGAGAGGGCGACCGGCCACACUGGGACUGAGACACGGCCCAGACUCCUACGGGAGGCAGCAGUGGGGAAUCUUGCGCAAUGGGCGAAAGCCUGACGCAGCGACGCCGCGUGAGGGAUGACGGCCU